AACGAACGCUGGCGGCAUGCCUAACACAUGCAAGUCGAACGAGACCUUCGGGUCUACUGGCUCACGGGUUCGUAACGCGUGGGAACCUGCCCUUAUGCUUGGAAUACCUCCCCGAAAGGGGUGCUAAUACCGGUUAAUGUCUUCGGCACAAAGAUUUAUAGUCCUUGGAUGGGCUCGCGUUGGUUUAGCUAGUUGGUAGAGUAAAAGCCUACCAAGGCGACGAUCCAUAGUUGGUCUGAGAGGAUGAUCAGCCACCCUGGGACUGAGACACGGCCCAGACUCCUACGGGAGGCAGCAGUGGGGAAUAUUGGACAAUGGGCGAAAGCCUGAUCCAGCAAUGCCGCGUGAGUGAUGAAGGCCUUAGGGUUGUAAAGCUCUUUUACCCGGGAUGAUAAUGACAGUACCGAGAGAAUAAGCUCCGGCUAACUCCGUG
rnacentral:rRNA from 1 species